GGAGAUUUAGCUCAGCGGCAUAAGCGCCUGCCUUGUAAGCAGGCAAUCGCCAGUUCGAUCCCUGGUACCA
rfam:Cavia porcellus supercont2_12 genomic scaffold, whole genome shotgun sequence.